ensembl:lncRNA
CGUGAAUGUUUCUUCUUAUGACAUAAAAUAAUUCCACGCUGUUCGUGUUUGUGGGUGAAACGUGAGGCCGGUGGGCUCCUCUCAGCACUUUCCGUCCACUCCGUUGAUUUCCUGUAAGUAGAGAGGAAGUGAAGCGAAGUGCGCAGUUUAGCUGAGCCUCCGUUUAGUGUGAGAGAGCAGGAGGAGAGUGAGAGCUGUGCUGAGGCAGCUGAGUGUAAACACCGCUCUGACAUUACUGUGUCUCUGUGGCGGGAACAACAGGCUCCGUCAGUGGAGGCAAAAAUAAUCAGACUUUGGUUUUUCAAAGAAAACUACUUUAUCGCGCAGGUUCACAGUAAGAUCCGCCCCUAACACAGCAUUUUUAAAACCUAAAAUGGCGACAGUGGAAAAGUCUCAGGCGGUUUCUUAACGUGCGUACUUGCGUUCUCGUGGACUUGUGAUACGUCAUCACUCACAGACCAAAACCUUUUUUUUUUCUCAUACUUUAAUUAAAUUUAUGCACAUAUUACAAUCUCUCGUUGGGAGACAACAUUAGUGCAACAACAUCUUGAAAAGGUUGAAUAAGAAACCAAACGAAAAACAAAACAAAAACACAUAUAUACAUUUACAUAAACAUAUGAAGGCCAUUUUUAUGACAUAUAACAGUUUCCUUUCUGCGAACACUUUAACAUACAUGUGGCUUACUUAGUACACCAAAAACACAAUCAUUAAAAGGAUAGAGAUUGAGUCCCAUUGUCGCAUAUCAAAGCAGCCUCUUUACAUGAAUCCCUCAGUAAUUCUAAAGAUGACAAAAAAGAUUUGAAUUCAAUUUUCAAUACAGUUAGGGAAGGUCUUUUACUUUGUCAUUUGCAUUUGUGUAUGUGGUAUUUGCCCAUAAUUACCACCUUGUGUAGCAUGGACAGUUCCUUAGAUGGAUCACCAUUAUUAUAUAAAACUUGUGUUAGAGUCAGUGGGGUCAUCCCAUCUAUUCUUAUACUCAACCAGUCUACUAAAUCUUGCCAGAAGUCAGUUGUUACUGAGCAGGAAAAAAACAAAUGAUCAAUACUUUCCACCUUUUGUGAACAAAAUCCACUACCUCAAACCCAAACCUUUUUUUAAGCAUUUCAGCUGUUGGGUAAUAUCCAUUAAUUAUUUUAAAUUGCAUUUCUUUGACUUUGGGGGGGAUAGGCCAUUUUAAAAAGUGCGUAUAUUUGUUCGUUAUUUUAAUAUUACUCCCUUUUAGUUUUGUGUUACUGUUAAAGUCGUGAAAUAAUUUGUUUUUAAAUAUCUUGUUCAUGGUUUUAUUAUUACAGUUUUUAUCCGUCAAAGGAAUCUGGUUUAGAUGUAAAGAAGGUAGACUAAUUUGUGCCUUAGAGUAAUACAAAUAACCUUGAAUCAAACUCAACAGAGGUAAGGGGAUUGCCUUACAAACCUUGUCAUAUUCUCUAAGGGAACACUGAAUGUUAAACUUAGCAUUAAAAACACCCACUGAGAGAAACUGACCCCUUUCAUCAAGUAAGUCUGUUAUAAAGAUUAUGUUUUUUUCAAACCACUCUUUAAUAAACAAUGACUUCUUAUUAAUUGUAAUUGUUCUGUUAUUCCACAAGGUGGAGCAAUGUGGUGAAAAGUUAUGGGCAAACACCAUCUUCCAAUAAGACAAGACCUGCUUAUGAUAUUCUGACAGUUUCACAGGCAACUUCAAUAUAUCAAAAUCACAUUUCAGGAGAAAAUCCAACCCUCCCACCUUUUUGAAAAUAUUUUUUGGGAUAUGGAACCAUAUGGAGUCAGGUUUCAAGAAAUAAAUCCAGUUUAUUUUAAAAACUCC